AGGCGCCCCAAGUUUGGUUACUUUUAAAUCAUAGUACUUGCCCAGUGUGCCAUGGCUGCAAACAGUAGCCUCCUUGGUAGUGUAUGCAGCCUGUUGAUUGUAUGGGUUGCCCUAAGGGACUUUGGAGACAGCU